GACGAACGCUGGCGGCGUGCUUAACACAUGCGAGUCGAACGGAAAGGCCCUGCUUUUGGGGGGUGCUCGAGUGGCGAACGGGUGAGUAACACGUGAGUAACCUGCCCUUGACUUUGGGAUAACUUCAGGAAACUGGGGCUAAUACCGGAUAGGAGCUCCUGCUGCAUGGUGGGGGUUGGAAAGUUUCGGCGGUUGGGGAUGGACUCGCGGCUUAUCAGCUUGUUGGUGGGGUAGUGGCUUACCAAGGCUUUGACGGGUAGCCGGCCUGAGAGGGUGACCGGCCACAUUGGGACUGAGAUACGGCCCAGACUCCUACGGGAGGCAGCAGUGGGGAAUAUUGCACAAUGGGCGGAAGCCUGAUGCAGCAACGCCGCGUGCGGGAUGACGGCCUUCGGGUUGUAAACCGCUUUCGCCUGUGACGAAGCGUGAGUGACGGUAAUGGGUAAAGAAGCACCGGCUAACUACGUGCCAGCAGCCGCGGUGAUACGUAGGGUGCGAGCGUUGUCCGGAUUUAUUGGGCGUAAGGGGCUCGUAGGUGGUUGAUCGCGUCGGAAGUGUAAUCUUGGGGCUUAACCCUGAGCGUGCUUUCGAUACGGGUUGACUUGAGGAAGGUAGGGGAGAAUGGAAUUCCUGGUGGAGCGGUGGAAUGCGCAGAUAUCAGGAGGAACACCAGUGGCGAAGGCGGUUCUCUGGGCCUUUCCUGACGCUGAGGAGCGAAAGCGUGGGGAGCGAACAGGCUUAGAUACCCUGGUAGUCCACGCUGUAAACGGUGGGUACUAGGUGUGGGGUCCAUUCCACGGGUUCCGUGCCGUAGCUAACGCUUUAAGUACCCCGCCUGGGGAGUACGGCCGCAAGGCUAAAACUCAAAGGAAUUGACGGGGCCCCGCACAAGCGGCGGAGCAUGCGGAUUAAUUCGAUGCAACGCGUAGAACCUUACCUGGGUUUGACAUGGAUCGGGAGCGCUCAGAGAUGGGUGUGCCUCUUUUGGGGUCGGUUCACAGGUGGUGCAUGGCUGUCGUCAGCUCGUGUCGUGAGAUGUUGGGUUAAGUCCCGCAACGAGCGCAACCCUUGUUCACUGUUGCCAGCACGUUAUGGUGGGGACUCAGUGGAGACCGCCGGGGUCAACUCGGAGGAAGGUGGGGAUGACGUCAAGUCAUCAUGCCCCUUAUGUCCAGGGCUUCACGCAUGCUACAAUGGCUGGUACAGAGAGUGGCGAGCCUGUGAGGGUGAGCGAAUCUCGGAAAGCCGGUCUCAGUUCGGAGUGGGGUCUGCAACUCGACCUCAUGAAGUCGGAGUCGCUAGUAAUCGCAGAUCAGCAACGCUGCGGUGAAUACGUUCCCGGGGCU
rnacentral:rRNA from 1 species